UUUAUGCCUGUUUUAUUUAGCUGCAAUCCAGUUUAAUGGAGCUGGAGCGACUGCACCAGGCCCGGCCCAUGCCCCAGGAUGGACCUGAGCCCCCCACGAAGCUUUAUGCCUGUUUUAUUUAGCUGCAAUCCAGUUUAAUGGAGCUGGAGCGACUGCACCAGGCCCGGCCCAUGCCCCAGGAUGGACCUGAGCCCCCCACGAAGCUUUAUGCCUGUUUUAUUUAACUGCAAUCCAGUUUAAUGGAGCUGGUGUGGCUGCACCAGGCCCGGCCCACACCCCAUGAAGGACCUGAGCCCCCCACGAAGGUGAGACCCACAGCCACCCCCACACUGCCCCAUGGUGACCCAGUGACACCCAUAGAUAACCCACAGCGACCCAGACACCCUCCUCCCCCUCAUCCCCAUAGUGCCCUGUAGACCCACAACAUGUGUUCCCCAGCUUUUAUUGACUCCUGACGUCCUGAUGUCACCAGGACCGCGAUGACAUCAUCAGUAUCAUCAAUGACCCAGCGCCCUUUAGGGCCCCUGCUGCCCAUCCGCAACCCAUAAAUUGUAAUUUACUUUGUAAUUUUGUCUGUUUCAUUCACUUUGUAAUUACUUUGUGAUGUAUCCAGGGUGCUUGUGGGUCUAAAGGAGGGCUCAGGGUGGUGCCAA